UCGCAUCUAAGAAGAUCUCUGAGGAAAUUGCACUCCCACAACAAUUUGAUCUUCCGCCAUUGCUGCAGAGAUGCGCUUCCCCGGUGGCACUCGCAUCGUGUAAUAUGCCACCCAAUAGUCAGUUGAAAAUGCAGAUUUCCAGCCCAUUCCAGCCGCACUUGCAUAAUCCACACAUGUCAGGCGAGUCCCCCCGCCUGCCAUUUGCAAGGAGCAGAGCAGGCCGCCGCAUAAACUAAGCUAACAAUUCAACUAAAAUGCCAACCAGAUAAUAAAACUCUCAAAUCGAUGAAGAAGUGGAAGCAUUGGCCUUUGUGAUCGACUGAGUGUGCAGUUUGUGGCAAGAUGGAAAAUGGAAAUAAAACUGCGAACACGAAACAGACAGUCGCAGGGGCCAGAGCCACAGUCGGGGCUGGCAGCGAGGCAGUCAGGCCAGGCCAUUCAAGCGACCACCCACACAUCUGGGCCAGAGACACAGCCAGAGCAUCCUCGCCGCCUGCGCAGUGUCAAAUAGACAGGAAAAAGCAACAGCAACAGCAACAACGGACGAGAGCUGCGUGGAGUCGAGCAAUUACGAAUGCUGCCACAGCCACAGUCAGGGCCCCAGCGUUUCUUGUGGCAAGUGACCUGCGAGACGUCAAAUGCAGCGCACAGGAAAUCGAAGUCGCAACUCGACGGCCAUUCAUAGAGAUCACAGCGUGUCGCAGUCGUAGAAAGUUUUACUGUGUCUCCCCCCUGUCGUCGGUUGGUGUGUUUGUUCAAGGCAGUCUCCACUGUUACUGCUCUUUGCUCUGCGUACCUGUUGGAGCUGCGUUUUUCGGGGAGCAGCAGCAACUGAAAUUGCCAAUUGUUGUGCUUCGAUGGCAGUGGCAGGCUACUGUUUGGGCUGCCACACACCUUGCAGCUGGAACGGAAGCGAGGCAUCUUAGAGAUCAGCGAGGCUCUGGCUCUGGCUGCUGGCUGUGUGUUGCCACUUUCGGCGCUGGCUCUGCCUUUUUAAGCCAUUUUAAUAUGAGCGUUGCACAUCUUGGCUGUGGGUGUGGCUGAUUGGGCAAGCCGAACCAAACGAAACGAAAACAAAAAAAAAUGGAUGAGAAGAGGCUCGCUCCGUCUGCGCUGGGCCAGGCCAGGCCAGGCCCAAUGAUCAAUCUUGGCCAUGGAAACGUUUUACGAUGACGAUGAUGAUGAUGACGACGUGGACUUUGUUUGCCGGCGAUGGCUUUGAUUGCAGCAGCAGCAGCAGCCUCGCAGCCAUUUGCCAGCUUUUGCUACUGGUUUUUCUCCGAAGCCUCACUUAAGUGGGCGUGUGGGCAUUUUUGUUAGAAAAUGUUUGGCCCGAUCCGCAGGAAGCGAUCUGUUUGGCUUAUGGAAAUGCUGCCAACAGGCAAGCGAAAUGUUUCAAUUAUUAGUAUUUUUAGUCAGCAAUUAAAGGGAACACCUGCAGAGGGGGAUCAUUUUACAACGAAAUUGUACUCAGCACUGACGGAAGUAGGUUGACACUCUGCCAAAUGGGACAAUAGAUGGGACACCCACACACACACCUACAUCAUGAUUGUUGUUUUUCUUUUACUCUUAAUUUAUAUUUACAGCAUUCCGUUUCCGUUCCCAGA